rnacentral:sRNA from 1 species
GUCGUGAGAUGUUGGGUUAAGUCCCGCAACGAGCGCAACCCUUGUCCUAUGUUGCCAGCACGUAAUGGUGGGGACUCGUAGGAGACUGCCGGGGUCAACUCGGAGGAAGGUGGGGACGACGUCAAGUCAUCAUGCCCCUUAUGUCCAGGGCUGCAAACAUGCUACAAUGGCCGGUACAAAGGGCUGCGAGACCGCGAGGUUGAGCGAAUCCCACAAAGCCGGUCUCAGUUCGGAUCGGAGUCUGCAACUCGACUCCGUGAAGCUGGAGUUGCUAGUAAUCCCGGAUCAGCAACGCCGGGGUGAAUACGUUCCCGGGCCUUGUACACACCGCCCGUCACACCACGAAAGUCGGUAACACCCGAAGCCAGUGGCCCAACCCGCAAGGGGGGGAGCUGUCGAAGGUGGGAUCGGCGAUUGGGGUGAAGUCGUAACAAGGUAGCCGUACCGGAAGGUGCGGCUGGAUCACCUCCUUUCUAAGGAGUCACCUGCUCAUAUGAGCAGACUCCCGAGUUGAUCACUCGCCUCCGUCCUCUCUUCUGUUUUGAGGGAGCAUCACGCUUCUUCUGAGCACUGCAAGCUCCGCCGGUCCCAUUGGGGCCGGCGUCCUUGCGUCUACGACCUUGUCGUUUCGCUCCUUGAGAAUUGCAUAGCGAGCACGAGCAUCUUUGUUCUUCCAAGCUACAAAAAGCCAACGGUGGAUGCCUUGGCGCCUAGCACCGAUGAAGGACGCGAGUGGCUGCGAAAAGCCACGGGGAGCUGCCAACUAAGCGUUGAUCCGUGGAUGU